UUGACAAGGAUGCGCCUCUUGAAGAUGAGAAAAUUGAAGUGGCUGAAGAUGAUGCUUACUUGGUCAAGCAAAUUGGCCAGAGUUUCCAGUAUUCUAAAAUAGAGGUAUAUUCCUCUUCUUAUAUUCAUGAAUAGUCAGUUUUGUUCCUUGUUAACAUACAUGCAUCAUCUAUGUAUGGAAGACUAAACAUAGAUCGAAUCCAUUUUCUUAUCAAGGCAAGAAGGGAGGAACAAAUCCAAGCUGCUCAUGACGAAGCCAUGUUUGGUGCUUUAGCACUUCCACCUCCCACCAGUACUGACAGUGAGCCUGAAAAGGAGAAUGAGAAAGAAGUUGAUAAAAAAAGCUGUUGUUACAAGCCUCUUAAGUGAAACGGAGUGCUGAAAUGGUGACCAUAUGCUACCUUGAGGGCUCAAGAA